UCUUCACUUCCGGAAACAUGGCCUCUGGUGUUGCUGUCUCUGAUGGCAUCAUCAAAUUGUUCAAUGACACAAAGGUACCCAAGUCUUCAAUACCAGAGGAGGUGAAGAAGCACAAAAAGGCAGUGCUCUUCUGCUUGAGUGAGGACAAGAAGAACAUCAUCCUGAAAGGGGACAAGGAGAUCCUUGUAGGUGACGUGGGCCAGACAGUCGAUGACUCCUAUGCCACCUUUGUCAAGAUGCUUCCAGACAAGAACUGCCACUAUGCCCUCUAUGACACAACCUAUGAGACCAAGGACAGCAAGAAGGGGAACCUAGUGUCUACCAUCUGGGCUCCUGAGUGUGCACCCUUUAAGAGCAAAAUGAUCUAUGCCAGCUCCAAGGACGCCAUCAAGAAGCUGACAGUGAUCAAGCAUGAAUUACAAGCAAACUGCUACGAGGAGGUCAAGGACCACUGCACACUUGCAGAGAAGCUAGGGGGCAGCACCAUCAUCUCGCUGAAGGGUAAGCCUUUGUGAGCCCCUUCUGGCCAAUGCCUGGAGCAUCUGGCAAGCCCAGAUCUGCCCUCAGGCAUUGCAGGCUGCCAUCUUCCUGCCAGACUGGAGGGGU